GUGCUUCCUGGACUUGUAAGGCUAUUUCUUUCACCAGGAUUCUUGUAACAAAAUGGCUGAUUUAUGAUGAGAAAUCAUUGAAGAUGAGCUCUGCUUUUUAUGCAUCUUUCCAGGAUGUGCCCCACAGAAUUCAUCACUGAUGCAGUCUAUGAAAGAAAUUAUGAUCCCAAAGAUACCGGAGAUAAAAACU